rnacentral:rRNA from 1 species
UACAGAGGGUGCUAGCGUUGUUCGGAAUUAUUGGGCGUAAAGGGCGCGUAGGCGGUCUUGUAAGUCAGAUGUGAAAGCCCUCGGCUUAACUGAGGAAGUGCACCUGAAACUGGCAGGCUUGAGUACGAAAGAGGGUCGCGGAAUUCCCGGUGUAGAGGUGAAAUUCGUAGAUAUCGGGAGGAACACCGGUGGCGAAGGCGGCGACCUGGUUCGAUACUGACACUGAGGUGCGAAAGCGUGGGGAGCAAACAGG